UACGUAGGUGGCGAGCGUUAUCCGGAUUUAUUGGGCGUAAAGCGUCCGCAGCCGGUUUAUUAAGUAUAGAAUUAAAUUUCUGGGCUUAACCCAGUCUCGUUCUAUAAACUGAUAGGCUAGAGUGUGGUAGAGGCAAGUGGAAUUUCUAGUGUAGCGGUUAAAUGCGUAGAUAUUAGAAGGAACACCAGUGGCGAAGGCGGCUUGCUGGGCCACCACUGACGGUCAGGGACGAAAGCGUGGGGAGCAAA
rnacentral:rRNA from 1 species